ACAUGAACUGCACGAUAAGCAGGUCACCUGAUGUGCGGAUAACAGUGUUUUGAUGAAUAUGAGACACGGUAGUGUCCCGAAAACAGUUCUUGCUUAGUCAGUAUGUACGUAAUUCCAAGUAGAGUUGUUGAGUAGCUAGAAUCGAUUAGAUCUAGUUAGGCCUACGUAGGGUUACGUAGUUCAGGCUACUUUGAUAUAAAGGUAAAGAAGAACGCCCUAUUUCUAAAGCACCAUUCCACAAAUUCGCUUGAUCUGCCCGACAAAACUUUAAUCUAGGAGCGAAAGAUGUCACAGACUUACCGUGGUCAAGCUCGUCCAAGGAGAGACCCUCCACAAGAUGGUAAUGUAAGCAAUGAUGGGAGGAUUAAACGUAUCUUCCAGAAUACUUGUGGUUGCAUCCACAAAGAUGUGUGGAAGUAUACUCAGGAAUACCAAUGUGGUGACAGGAUAUUUCUUUGUAAGGAGUGCAGCCGCAUCCAUGGAGAGAGAUGCCCUUUUCAUAAGAUGGCACGUAGAGACCGUGUGGGCGAUAUCUGAGGAGAGUAAAUAGAUCUAGAUAAAGAACAUGCAUGGAAAGAUAGAUAAGCUGAUUAUAAUAAUGUAUCAUCAUGUACAUGUAGUUAUUUGAAAUAAAGUAAAUUUGGCAAAAUAA